AGUGAACGCUGGCGGUAGGCCUAACACAUGCAAGUCGAACGGCAGCACAGUAAAAGCUUGCUCUUACGGGUGGCGAGUGGCGGACGGGUGAGGAAUACAUCGGAAUCUACUUUUUCGUGGGGGAUAACGUAGGGAAACUUACGCUAAUACCGCAUACGACCUACGGGUGAAAGCAGGGGAUCUUCGGACCUUGCGCGAUUGAAUGAGCCGAUGUCGGAUUAGCUAGUUGGCGGGGUAAAGGCCCACCAAGGCGACGAUCCGUAGCUGGUCUGAGAGGAUGAUCAGCCACACUGGAACUGAGACACGGUCCAGACUCCUACGGGAGGCAGCAGUGGGGAAUAUUGGACAAUGGGCGCAAGCCUGAUCCAGCCAUACCGCGUGGGUGAAGGAGGCCUUCGGGUUGUAAAGCCCUUUUGUUGGGAAAGAAAAGCAGCAGGUUAAUACCCCGCUGUUCUGACGGUACCCAAAGAAUAAGCACCGGCUAACUUCGUG
rnacentral:rRNA from 1 species